rnacentral:rRNA from 1 species
GCGGACGGCUUAGUAAAACGUAGGUACCUACCCUCAGGACCGGGAUAACUCGCCGAAAGGCGAGCUAAUACCGGAUAAUCCCUAGCGGGCAAAGACUCCGGUGCCUUUGGAGGGGCCUACGCCCUAUUAGCUAGUUGGUGAGGUAAAUGCUCACCAAGGCGAUGAUGGGUAGCUGGUCUGAGAGGAUGGCCAGCAAGACUGGGACUGAGACACGGCCCAGACUCCUACGGGAGGCAGCAGGUCAGAAUAUUGCGCAAUGGGUUCACCGCCUGACGCAGCGAUGCCGCGUGAGGGAAGACGGCCAUACGGUUGUAAACCUCUGUCGGGAGGGACGAACACUGGCUAGGCCAGUUGACGGUACCUCCAACAGGAAGCCUCGGCUAACUACGUGCCAGCAGCCGCGGUAAUACGUAGGAGGCGAGCGUUAUCCGGAAUCACUGGGCGUACAGGGUCCGCAGGCUGGCUCGUGUGUCGAAGGUGAAAUCCCGGGGCUCAACCCCGGAAGUGCCUUCGAAAC